ACGAUUUUCGCGCAUGCGCACAUCUGGACCGUGAUUCAUGUUGGUGUUGAGUCUGCGUCAUGUAUUGCUUUUAUUUUACCAUCUUAUAUCUGCAUAAUGUUCCUUCUGAAAGAGGCUUUAUGGAGCCGAACUACCAGAAAGGGGGAGGAGCCUCAUCUCGAGGCUGGAGUAUCUACGUGAUUCGCAGUGUCCAGUCAUGCAGAUAAGUCGAUCCUUGGAGGACAAGCACGUGAAGAGCUGCAGCUGGUGAAGCGAGUUGGGACAAUAGCAACAACAAAGUCGCCACAGCUGACCAAACCAUCAGCUACUAAAGAAGAGCUCAUAGAGGAGUACGCAGAGGUCUUCACGGGUUUGGGUGAGUUUCCUGGAGUUCACCACUUACACAUAAACCCAAACGUCACACCUGUGAUUCAUGCGUGCAGUAACCUGCCACUUUGCAUAAUGGAGCUGCUAAAAAAGACACUGAAAGAUUUACAAGACAGAAACGUGAUAAUGCCAGUCAACGAGCCCACAGAUUGGGUUAAUAAUCUUGUUGCGACGCAGAAAAAGAACGGAACACUAAGGGUGUGUUUGGACCCUUGUGUACGGUGGCCGGGAAGUGCAAAACAAUAAUACAUUUCGACCGAAACACAUUAAACACAUUUACAUUUCG
rnacentral:lncRNA from 1 species